CCUACGGGUGGCAGCAGUGAGGAAUAUUGGUCAAUGGACGAGAGUCUGAACCAGCCAAGUAGCGUGAAGGAUGACUGCCCUAUGGGUUGUAAACUUCUUUUAUAUGGGAAUAAAACGUUCCACGUGUGGGAUUUUGUAUGUACCAUAUGAAUAAGGAUCGGCUAACUCCGUGCCAGCAGCCGCGGUAAUACGGAGGAUCCGAGCGUUAUCCGGAUUUAUUGGGUUUAAAGGGAGCGUAGGUGGAUUGUUAAGUCAGUUGUGAAAGUUUGCGGCUUAACCGUAAAAUUGCAGUUGAAACUGGCAGUCUUGAGUACAGUAGAGGUGGGCGGAAUUCGUGGUGUAGCGGUGAAAUGCUUAGAUAUCACGAAGAACUCCAGUUGCGAAGGCAGUUCACUGGACUGCAACUGACACUGAGGCUCGAAAGUGUGGGUAUCAAACAGGAUUAGAUACCCCGGUAGUC
rnacentral:rRNA from 1 species